rnacentral:rRNA from 1 species
UAGAGGAAGUAAAAGUCGUAACAAGGUUUCCCGGCGUGGAACGUUUCAUCUACCGAAGCCUUGGAAAUCCAGUCACUUUAUUUUCUGUAAGUGGCGAGGCGCGUCUGUUGCUGGAAAUCUCCCCUAUACCCUUAAUUAGGGGGGCUUACCCGCAGCCAUUGUCAAGUUAAUGGUUCACAGAUCAAACACGCGUCGUCUAUAAGCGAAUCCUGUAUGGGAAGUUGCAGUGGGUUGAGGAUUUGCGGAAUAUAUGGAUUAAGAUAUGAUCGAGUCCCUCGAUUUUUUUCGGGGGUAUCUUCGUUCCGUAGGUGAACCUGCGGAAGGAUCAUUAAUAGAGAAGAGGGUCCUCCGGGGCCCAAACUCACCACCCGUUGUGAACAUAUCUUUGCCGCUCUGGCGGGCCGCGGGGCCUUCGGACCCCCCGUCGACUCCGGUGGACGAGUGCCCGUCAGAGACCCCUCCAACUCUGAUAAUUAGUGAAGUCCGAGUCGAAACAAUCGUUAAAACUUUCAACAACGGAUCUCUUGGUUCUGGCAUCGAUGAAGAACGCAGCGAAAUGCGAUAAGUAAUGUGAAUUGCAGAAUUCAGUGAAUCAUCGAAUCUUUGAACGCACAUUGCGCCCUCUGGUAUUCCGGGGGGCAUGCCUGUUCGAGCGUCAUUACACCUCUCAAGCUCAGCUUGGUAUUGGGCGCCGUCCCCCAGGGGGCGCGCCCGAAAGUUAGCGGCGACGCGGUCGGUCUUCCAGCGUAGUAAAACUUCUGUUUCGCUUUCGGAGCCCGGGCGCGCCCGCCGGAUAACCCCCAAUUUUUCAAUGGUUGACCUCGGAUCAGGUAAGGAUACCCGCUGAACUUAAGCAUAUCAUA